CCUACGGGAGGCUACAGUGAGGAAUAUUGGUCAAUGGACGAGAGUCUGAACCAGCCAAGUAGCGUGAAGGAUGACUGCCCUAUGGGUUGUAAACUUCUUUUAUAAAGGAAUAAAACGCGGCACGUGUGCCUUUUUGCAUGUACCUUAUGAAUAAGGAUCGGCUAACUCCGUGCCAGCAGCCGCGGUAAUACGGAGGAUCCGUGCGUUAUCCGGAUUUAUUGGGUUUAAAGGGUGCGUAGGUGGGUUGUUAAGUCAGUUGUGAAAGUUUGCGGCUCAACCGUAGAAUUGCAAUUGAUACUGGCAGUCUGGAGUACAGUUGAGGUAGGCGGAAUUCGUGGUGUAGCGGUGAAAUGCUUAGAUAUCACGAAGAACCCCGAUUGCGAAGGCAGCUUACUAGACUGUGACUGACAUUGAUGCACGAAAGUGUGGGUAUCAAACAGGAUUAGAUACCCCAGUAGUC
rnacentral:rRNA from 1 species